UUAUGUUAAAACUUUCUUUUCCAUUCACCACCAUAUCACACAGAAAAUUUAAAUCCCUUAACAACAAAAGAUUUAAAGGCAGUGUAUCUCUACAGUCUCUACAUUGUGUUUGUCAUCCAGAGCCUGGGUAUGUGUCUUACUUAGAUAUCUGUUGCCAUUGAAUGAAAAAUUGCUAUUAGCUAGCCCCUUUUUCUAACUCUUUAAUAGUUUCUCAGUUAAGGCAUUUCCUACCUACAAGCAUUUAUUUUGCCAGCUGUUUCUGUGCCUGUAUGCAUUUAUGGACGAAAAACUGCUUGCAAAAGUUAGAACCAGACUGAGAACUAAACUAUAUCCCCAUGUCAGCAUGAUUUCAGCUCUAUUGAAGUUAACGGGAAGUUAGUGCAGGCAUUUACACAAAAGUUUUCUGACUUCUGGGCCAUCCUGCAGAUAAAUAGUUAUUGCGUCAUCUGUGAUCCUAAUGUAACCAGGGAAACUGAACAGAGGGUUGUGGAAGAGAGGAUAGAAAGAGAGCAGAAAAGGAAUUGGUGCAGCAUGUCAUAAACAUGGACAGUGCUGCCCAGAGAUUUAAAAUGUGUUUGUCAUCUCCUUUCGUCAACUUUUCUCUGAGACUGUUUACUUAAGAGCUCCUCAGCUAUUGCCAGGAAUGCAGUUACACUAUUUUAGGCUGUAUGUACUGGAUAAAGCCCAAAGCCAUUCCCACAGUGGGUGAGGGAGGCUUUGGGCUAGUGUUUCGAUGCUGCAGUGCUGUGGUCCACCAAACUCUGCAGGUAUUUAGAAGGAAACCUCUUUGCUCUGAGGUGGUCUCUGAGAUAAUGAGCAAACAUUUAAAUGUAGCUUUGUUGUCUGGUCAUGUUUCUCACUUGUAUAAACUGCACCUCUUAAAAGAAAACCCCCACCAAAUCAGAUGUAAAGAUGAGGAGAGAGGAGAAAUUUUGAAGUAGAGGGAGAAGGCAGUAGACAUCAGAGGCUGUAGGGCAGAUAGAGGGGUGGAGCGGAUAUAAAUUUAGCUUCUUUUCGUCUGUGUUGCAUGUCACUAUUGCUUCUGCUGAAUCAUUGGGUCUUGCUUUUUUAACUAAUUACCCACUGGUUAUAUGUGUGAAGAUAGAGCAGAUACAGAGAAAAUACAGGAAAGAAAGAUUUUAUAUAAGCUUCUGCAAAAAAGUACUUCUUUAUUCAACCUGGUAAGCUAUGGGGACCAUAAUGCUUUCCCUGCUAUAUCUGUGAAUGCUUUCUGUAUACUUCAUGGCCUCUACUCUCAAUCUAAACAAAUCAACUUAAACUUAAACAGCCUUGUGAGUGAACUCUUUUCAACCUUCCUGUCCAGAAGGCAAAGCCCCUCUCAUUAGUAAUUGCAGAUGGAACAACUACGGUUUGUCUGGCCUACGUUCUUUGUACCAGGUCUUUGGUUUUUUGUUAUUGGACUAAAGGAUGAAAAAAUAGUAGUAGCUUUCUAGGGGGGCGAAGAACCAAGACAACCUUCUUUAGAACCACCUGGGUCGGAUUCCACCAGGACAGAAUUUGGCGCAAGUGGACACAGCUCCGCUGCUGAUGGGGCUGGUUUUGUCCUGCCUGGAAUUUGAGAAACGGGCUGCUUCUUGUGCUUUCUUCACUCUGCUGCUUAUUAAGAAUUUGACCUUUUGAGAGGUCAGUGUCUUCCUGCACCCCAGAGUCUCAUAGGUGAAUGGAUAUUCUACUAAAUCUUCAAAUACAGAUUAGCCCUGGAGCUGUUUUAAGGAGCAGCAUCUUCUCUUCUGCUUGUGGCUGACUUGCUGCCACUCCUCUGUGGCUUUCCAUGUUGCACUGUCUUUCAUUUCUGUAAGCACUUUUUGUUGAGACUCCAACAUUUAUGUCUGCUUUCAGCUGUUAGGCAUCCAGCUUGUGUUGAAAUCCUUGUGCUAGUUAGCCUCAUUUCAUUCAGGUGUUCUUCUGACAGUUACUUAAUUUUUCCCAUUGCUCUCUACUAGGUGAAACAGGGUCAUUUGUUCAUAGUUAGGAGCUUUCCAACUAGUACAGUAGUUUAAAGCAAACGUAUUUUUUCCUUAGAGCUUGCUCAUGACCUGAUGUCAAUGUGAAAGGUUUCAGAAAGACUGUUUUGGCUGCAUGGCAGGCUGCCGGUCAGCGCACAUGCCUAACCUGAUCACCCGCUGGGUCGGAAGGGGAAUUCUUCUGUCAGGAGCUGUGCGCAGAGCUAGGAGCGUUUCGGAAGGAGGGGAGCAUUCCCAUUCCUCAGGGGCAUCAGCUACCUGUGGCUGCAGUGACGGACACGCAACACCGGCCGUGCCAGCAGCAGUUUAAUCGGGGACCGGUUUGGCUGUGGCUUGUAGGCAUGCCUCUCUUUGACUCCCUGUUCACCACACUUGUGAAACAUUCCCCAGGAAGAAACCCCGACGUUCAAUUCUAACCUGCGGAUUUAAAGCCCCUUCGUUUUCUUUCUGGCUGGUUCAGUGUCUUGCUCGCGUGCCCCAGCACUGGGAUUACAGCCCUCAAUCCCUUCCUGUGCCGUGCGAAUAACAGGGAUCUUCUAGCCAGGAGGGCAGGAGACAGCCAGGAGAGGUCUCUGCGAGGAAAAAGAGAUCUCUGUAUGGAAAAUGUGAGAACCAGUCCACUACUAGUUGAACACUGAAGCCUUUGAACUGCACGAGCAACAAGAAAAUUGGAAUAGUGUGAAAACACUCAGACUUCUUUUUUCCACUAGAACUUUCAGGAGUGGACAAAUUUCUGUAGGUUCUUAGGUUUUAUAAAAUUCUCUAGAUCUUGUACUCUACAUAUUUAAAAAAAAAAAAUCAAGUGAGACUGGUUUGGUUUUGUUUUCACUUUGUUGUCCAAACUUGUUGUUUGUGUCCAUGUCUGGUAUAACAGAAGAGUGAUUUAAGGCAUGUUCUGCCACGAACACCUACCAUGCGCUGGCUCGUCGUGGGAAGAUAACAGCUUUCAGUAUUGAGAUAAAUGGAGCAGACCAUUCCUAUCAGGCUGUUGUUUCAGGUCUGUUGCAACCAUAGACAGCUACUGUGUACCUGAAGUCAUGAUUUCUUUUCUUUUUUUUUUUUUUUUUUUGGUCCUAGCACCCAUAGAUGUAUGGGGUACAAGGCAGAGGACAGUCUUUCAUAGGGUUCGUCAUUGUGGCCCUAGGAAUAACCCUGUAGUAUCUCCCCUUCAGGUCAGUCCUGGCCUGGAAUGGCCUAAGUAUUUUUUUUGAUAACAUUUCAGAGUGUUCAAUUCAGCUUUGAUUUCUGUCCAUGUUCUUUCCACAAAAGCCAUAAAUUGAAGGAAACAGUACGACACAUCCUUAUUUUCUGAUUACAUAAAAUGUAUUAUACCCAGCUAUAGAUAUUGCUGUUUUAAACAAUGUGACAACUUCUGAAAAAAAGAUAAAAAGCUCUAGAUGGUUUGGAAAAUGUAUUUAAAGGAAUGCUAUUCAAACUGUUUUGCUAUAAUCAUAUUCAAGUAGCAUAACCAGGAGUAGCUGAUCAGCCUCAUGGUGAUUAGAAUUCACACUUAAGAUUUUCUACCUUCAGUAUUUCAUGGAAGGAUUUCAAGAAGCAAUAUGAUUUAUAACCAUAAAAAGAGUGUAAAGAUUUAUUUUUUAAAUCUACCAUCAUUGCUUCUGUGCAAUUCGACAGUGCCCCCUUUCACUGCGGCUGAGAAGUGGCCCACAGGCACUGACAAAAUGAUCCUUUCCUGGCAGGUUGUGACACAGGUCUGUAUUACAGCUCUGGUUCUUGCCACCAUUUUCUGGGUUGUAAAAGCCAAAAGCCAGCACACUGGAAGCUGCUGGUUUGCUGCGGAUGCAGGUUGGUAAGGGCUUUUCUUUUAAAGAGGGUUCACGCAGCGCUGAGUGUCCAACCAUUCUUGUCUUGUGAACUCACUGUUGUAACGGAGAGCUGCAAUAAUGUCUUUGCAAGCAGAUUUACACAGAUACACCCAGAACAAACAUUUCCUGUCAUUUUUUAUCUUCUUUGUUAGAUACAAACACAAACGUCUCCAAGGACAAUCAAAUGGGAACACUUUGAAAAAAACCCAAGCAGUGAUCAAGUGCAUUAACAUGCAGGAUCCCAUUCUAUUUUCCUAAUUAAACUCAGUUGUAUCCUCCAACCUGCGUUUUAAAUGCUGAAUAUUUAGUGAGAUUCAUACUUAUUCCCCCCUACCCUGGCUGCUUUCAGGCUUUGUACAGCAUGUGAAAGGCUCCAUUAGGGAAAUGUGAAAGCACUGGGCUAUGCAUUGACUUGCUGCUUUGACGUUCCAGGGGGAGAUGCUACUAAGCUGUAAAUUACAGGAUUGGACAUCAUUGAUUUGAAUUCAGAUCAGUUUGGCCAGAAAAGCUAGGUUUAGCUGUUUGACCUGCCCUGACCCCUUUCUGUCCUUUGUUUAGUAAGGUACCUGAUUUGUUUGCAAGUUUUUUCCAACUCUGCUGUGUGCAGAAAUCUAACUAUUCGAACUUUGUAGCCCUUAUCUCACUCUGGUUAAUUAAAAAUCUUCUUGUGCCUCUUCAUAAUAAGAGGUUUCUAAAA